UGCAGCUGGAGACCGCAGAACUUGGUGUCUGC
rnacentral:piRNA from 1 species